CCUACGUGAGGCAGCAGUGGGGAAUAUUGGACAAUGGGGGGAACCCUGAUCCAGCGACGCCGCGUGAGUGAAGAAGUAUUUCGGUAUGUAAAGCUCUAUCAGCAGGGAAGAAAGAAAUGACGGUACCUGACUAAGAAGCCCCGGCUAACUACGUGCCAGCAGCCGCGGUAAUACGUAGGGGGCAAGCGUUAUCCGGAUUUACUGGGUGUAAAGGGAGCGUAGACGGCGAUGCAAGUCUGAAGUGAAAGGCGGGGGCCCAACCCCCGGACUGCUUUGGAAACUGUAUGGCUGGAGUGCAGGAGAGGUAAGUGGAAUUCCUAGUGUAGCGGUGAAAUGCGUAGAUAUUAGGAGGAACACCAGUGGCGAAGGCGGCUUACUGGAUUGUAACUGACGUUGAGGCUCGAAAGCGUGGGGAGCAAACAGGAUUAGAUACCCGGGUAGUC
rnacentral:rRNA from 1 species